rnacentral:tRNA from 1 species
ACCGAAGUAGGGCAGUUGGGAGACCAUUAGACUAUAGAUUGAAAAGUCCCUGGUUCGAUCCCGGGUUCCGGCA